AUGGAUGGAAUCAAAUACGCAGUAUUUACAGAAAAACUUCGUUUAUUGGGAAAGAAUCAAUAUACUUUUAAGGUCGAAUCGGGAUUCACUAAGACAGAAAUAAAGCAUUGGGUCGAACUCUUCUUUGGUGUUAAGGUGGUAGCUAUGAAUAGCCAUUGA
rnacentral:rRNA from 1 species